AGUCUGCCCUGCUUUCUCUCUUGCUCCUUCCUGCUCUUUUCCCCUUCCUCCUUCCCUGGUAGGAUGAUGCAGCAAGAAGGUCCUCACCAGAUGCAGCCCCCCAACCUUGGAUUUCCCAGCCUCCAGAACAGAAGGGAAGUAUCACCGGCCUGAACUACUACUCCCCAUCCCCUGCAACUGCCAUUCUUUCUGACUUGUCUCUAGAAAAGGCCAUGUGACCUCUCCCUCAGGCUGACGCAUUGUCCCAGCCAGAAUGUCCAGCCAAAGCAGAAUAAAGCAUCUACUGGACCUAAA
rnacentral:lncRNA from 1 species